UAGGGAAUCUUCGGCAAUGGACGAAAGUCUGACCGAGCAACGCCGCGUGAGUGAAGAAGGUUUUCGGAUCGUAAAACUCUGUUGUUAGAGAAGAACAAGGACGUUAGUAACUGAACGUCCCCUGACGGUAUCUAACCAGAAAGCCACGGCUAACUACGUGCCAACAGCCGCGGUAAUACGUAGGUGGCAAGCGUUGUUCGGAUUUAUUGGGCGUAAAGCGAGCGCAGGAGGUUUCUUAAGUCUGAUGUGAAAGCCCCCGGCUCAACCGGGGAGGGACAUUAGAAGCUAGGAGACUUGAAUGCAGAAGAGGGGAGUGGAAUUCCAUGUGUAGCAGUGAAUUGCGAAGAUAUAUGGAGCAACACCAGUGGCGGAGGCGGCUCUCUGGUAUGUAACUGACGCUGAGGCUGGAACGCGUGGGGAGCAAACAGU
rnacentral:rRNA from 1 species